UACGAACCGUGCGAACGUUGUUCGGAAUCACUGGGCUUAAAGGGCGCGUAGGCGGGCCUCCAAGUCCGGGGUGAAAUCCUCCCGCCCAACGGGAGAAGAGCCUCGGAGACUGGGGGUCUCGAGGGAGGUAGGGGCGUGCGGAACUAUGGGUGGAGCGGUGAAAUGCAUUGAUAUCCAUAGGAACUCCGGUGGCGAAGGCGGCACGCUGGACCUCUUCUGACGCUGAGGCGCGAAAGCCAGGGGAGCAAACGGG
rnacentral:rRNA from 1 species